AGUUCCUGGUAUCCAUUAUAAAAAAAAUGGAAUUAAAGAAAGGGAUGAAACAAGUCGUGAGAAACCCGCUGACACAUUCGCUGCUGAAGGAUUAAGGGCGAGUAGGUCUCGGGACCAAAAUAGUUUACUACGAUCAAGGAUUUAUAGAAUGUGAAAUAGUAAAGAGAGCUUGAACGGAAGGGUUAUGGUUAGACAAACAUUAGAGCGGAAGAGAAUGCUGAACUCCUUGAGAGGUUAGGUUAGACACGUAAUUGGGAGCUUGUGGAAUUCUUAUAAUUGCUCAGAAAAGAUGGGUUUUUUAUCGCAUUCACGAUUCAGCACAAUUAUACAUGAAGACCCAGGUACAAUAAAUCGAUUGGAUGUGUCAGAAAAGAGACUAUUAUUAGAAAAUUUAUGUUUUAUGUGCCUUUCCAAGAAGUGAAAAUUUAAAUGUAUAUAGUGAACAAUAAAUAUAAUGAACAAACAAAAUGUUAUUUUCAUAUAUAAUUGUACCAAUAUACCUGAUCAAUCCAAGAAAAUUUUGAAAAAUAAUUAUAC